rnacentral:sRNA from 1 species
AAAAUGCUUAAGUUUUCCUUAAUAAAUUACAUGGUGUAGCUGCUUUGAAUCACAAAUAAACUGAACGACUACGAUGGCAGUAGUGCGGCUGUGCCUUAACCUACCUAUUCCGCAGAAACUGUUGCUUCUGCUUCCUCUUCGCUCUGCUUCGCCCAGCGCAUCCCUAUACCUCAAGCUCUCACUCUCAUCUCAUUUACUUCUUGAGAUACAUAUUCGCACCUGAACCACCUUCAUUCUUCAGUCCAUAUCAGGGAUCAUUGUGUGCUAUUUGGGCCAAUCGUAUGGUUUGAUGGAGCGCGCCUGAAAUCUGUUCGACACAAUGACUGUGAGGGACUUUCAAACUCAUUUGUCCUCUUAUUUCGGAAGGUGCAAUUUUUGGUUUAAUUGUCACAAAUGACGACGUGAAUUUCUUGGCUAAAAGGACCAAAGAUUGCAGGGAAUGGCAAUUUUUUCCAGGGAUGAAAGUGUAAAGGUUUGAAAUGAAGGAAACUCAGCUUCUUGAUUUGUCAUGCCUAUAUGUUCAAUAUAAUAUGGCUUGUGCUUUGGGGUUAUUUGGUUUCAGGAUUGAAACAAAAAUUAUGGACUUUAUAAAACGAAAGGAUCAAAACUACAUAUUGAACAUAGAUGCAGAAAGUUGUGAAUUCUAGGAUAGGAGCCUAAGAAAAUCGCCUUAUAAAUAAUAGAGUUCAGUUUUCACAUAUGUUCAGCAUAAAGUGAAUUAAUGGAAAAUUAUAGAACUUUUUAAAACAGUAGUCAUAAAUUCAACAAUGUGAUAAUAUAUAAGGGACAGUGUAAGAAAACCUUCACCAUGCUUAUUAAUUAAAAUCAUUUAAUAGCAGCUAAAUCAAAAUAGUCCUUCAAACAUCACCAAGAAUGUAUCUUGGCUGGUGCAGUAGGUAAGUCAUUUUACUGGUUGUAAUCUUAAGAGGUUUCCUACGUCAACUAUCCAUGAUGGCAAACAAAGAAAAAUCAAAGGGACAAUUUUUUUCCCCUUCUGAUUUAGUUCUUUCUCUUUUGGUUCUUCCUAAUGCGGGCUAUUGCCGAUAUCAUUUGGGAGUAGCCCCGUCUCUUUUGUCGUGUUUUUCUUAGUUAUUAUGAAAUAAGUUCACAAGCAUUUCUUGGAUUUGUUCAUAUUUUAAGUGAUUUCUUAUAGAUAGAUAUGAG